CCGGGAGAGGUUCCACCCUAACGGCUCUCGGGCGCGUGCACGCGAGCUUCUCCCGCCCCCUUCCCCCAGAUCUCGCGAGACUCGGGUUAUUAAACGACUCGCGAGACUCGGGUUAUUAAACGACCCUCGAGCCGGAUCUGCCCGAGGCGCCAAACCUCAUGCUACCAGCUGCGAGGGGGCUGGGGUUGGGCGGCACGCUGUGCUGGCGAACCAGACCCAAAUUAGCAAAUGUGCCAGAGGGUUACCCCGAGUUGAAAGUAACUGAAGACCUUACUAGUCAAGGACCACCGUAAUACAGGUUCAAGGCCUCAAUUCCUCUUGACCACCAAAAUGACAAAAAUCUGAGCUGAAAACUUGGCAAGGACUUUUUACUUACAGCUCUUCCUUGAGGGUGAACUUCAGGGUUCUAGAUUCAAGUGGAUGUGGAUUUCUUAGAGUGCCUACCUUGGUGGGCCCUAGACUUUGCGUUUUGCAUCCCUAACCCUACAAACCUACCAAAAGUGUAGCUCAGUUUCAAUACAAAGCUAUUAACUACACAAUUAGCAAGUACCCUGAAGCCAAAUAUGUGCCUUUAUGUGCUACAUUUACAAGGGACAAGCAAGUGGUUCAGGGAAGAGAUACAAGAGAUAAGAGGUCUGGACUAGAGUAUUAGAGAGAUUCAGGGGAUUCUUAGGAGGUAGAAUCUAAUUAAUUCAGUGAUUAUUUAACAGGGUAUGAAGGAGGAAGCAGUCAAGAAUGACUGUUUUCUAGUUUGAGCUACUGAGUACAAGUGUCAGUAACAGAGGAGAUUUACAGGGGAAGAUGAUGAGGUUCCAUUUUGGAUGCUUUGAACUUGAGAUGCCUUUGAAUCAUCUAAGCGGUGUUGUCUUUGAAGCAGCUGGACAUAGAGGGCUACAGGAGGGCUUGGACUGGAGUUAGCCUCUUGAUGAUAAUGGAAGCCUGGGAAGUAGAGAUGAUCUCACCCAGGGAAAGAGUAUCAAGUGUGAGGUAACGACCUAGAUUUGAACCUGAAGAAUGUCAACAUAUUAGGGACAUGCAGGAGAGUAAACGAAGACGAAUGGCUAGAGCAAGAGAAGAAAACAAGAAUGUGAUGUCAUCAAAGCCAAGAGAAAAGAAUGGUCAGCAGUGUCAAAUGCUUCCUAGAGGGCACCUGACUGGCUCACUAAGUAGAGCAUUGGACGCUUGAGCUCGUCGGGAUCAUGAGUUCAAGACCCACAUUGAGGGGAGGGUUUACUAAAAAACAAAACAAAACAAAAAAUGCUCCCUGGAGAUCAAGCAAGGUAAGGAAUGAUCCACUGAGUUUAGUGACCUCAUUUGUAACCUUGCAAAGCAGUUCUGGUAGAGUGGAGGGGCAGAAACCAGACUGCAGUGGAUUGAGGAUGAUUGGGCAGUGAAAAAUGCAGAAAAUUAUGCAACAACAUGGAUUAUUAAUCUCAAAAUCAGUAUGUUGAGCAAAAGAAGCCUACUCAAGAAUGCAUACUAUAGGACUCCAUUUGGAUGAAAUCCCUGAGCAGGCCAAACUAAUUUAUUGUAACAGCAAGCAGGUCAGUGGUUGCCUAGGGCCACGGGUGGGGAAGGGGAUUGACUGCAGGGGGCACAGGGCAACUUUUGGGACUGAUGGCAAUGAUCUAUAGCUUUAAUGGGCUUGUUACUACACAGAUGUAUGCACUUGUCGUUAUUCGUUGACCUGCACACUUAAAAUGGGUAUAUUUAUUAUACAUAAAUUAUACCUCACUACAGCCUAUUUCAUGUUUUAAAAUGUAGAAAAUGGGGGCGCCUGGGUGGCUCAGUUGGUUAAGCGACUGCCUUCGGCUCAGGUCAUGAUCCCAGGGUCCUGGGAUCGAGCCCCGUGUCGGGCUCCCUGUUCCACGGGAAGCCUGCUUCUACCUCUCCCACUCCCCCUGCUUGUGUUCCCUCUCUUGCUGUCUCUGUCUAAUAAAUAAAUAAAAUCUUCAAAAAUAAAAAAAGAAAAUGUAGAAAAUGAGGGGCACCUGGCUGGCUCAGUCAGAGAAGCAUGUGACUCUUGGUCUCGGGGUUGUGAGUUUGAGCCCCAUGUUGAGUGAAGAGAUUACUUAAGUAAAAAAACUUUUAAAAAAUUUAAAAAUGUAGAGAAUGAGUAUAAUUCAUCAAUUCAUUAAAUAACUCAAUUUGUGAAGAGCUAGAAGCUGUAAAGGCAUUUGUGUAAGAGGUUGAGUGUUUUUAUUUAUUUUUAAGAUUUAUUUAUUUGGAGAGUUGGGUGGGGGCAGAAGGACAGAAUCCUUAAGCAGACUCCCUGCUGAGCACAGAGCCCAGUGUGGGACUCCAUCUCAUGAUUCAUGAGAUUGUGACCUGAGCUGAAACCAAGAGUCAGACGCUUAACCGACUGAGCCACCCAGACGCCCCUAUUUUUUUAUUUAAAAGAUUUAUUCCAGAGGGGCGUCUGCCUUCGACUCAGGUCAUGAUCCCAGCGUCCUGGGAUUGAGCCCCGCAUCGGGCUCCCUGCUCGGCAGUAAGCCUGCUUCUCCCUCUCCCACUCCCCCUACUUGUGUUCCCUCUCUCACUGUCUCUCUCUCUCUCUGUCAAUUAAAUAAAUAAAAUCUUAAAAAAAAAAACUUAAUAAUGCUACAUGUAAAGUCACUGUGGAAGGUGCUUUGAAGACUACAAAGAUGAAUGAGACAUGGUCCUUACUCUUCAGGAGCUUGCAGUCCAGGGAAAAAUAAGUCAUAAGACAUGCCUACAAGAAACUGACAUAGACUAUAAUAAAGUGGGCACAAAGAACUGCUGAUGGUUCUCAGAAACAGUAAUUUCUAUUUGAGGAUGUUAGAAGUAGACAGACCAUUGAGGAGACUAGUUUAAUAGUUCAGCCAAAAGAUUAUCAGUGCUGGAACUAGAAGAGAGGCAAGGAGGACGGAGAGGGAGAAAAGGAUAGUAGAGCCAUUGCAGAAGCAGAAAUUGCUGAUUAGAUACGGAGAGUGAGGAGACAAAUACAGAACGAAGUCAGAGUUUACUUGGUCAGCCAAGUGCAUGGUGGAGCCUUUCACGCUGAUAAGACAAUUCAAGAGGAAGAGCAAUUUGACAGAUUAGAAGGCAGAAGUCAGCACGCUCAUUCCAUCGCCCUCUCCCUAGACUUCCUCCCUGUGGCCUGUAGUUGAGUGGUGGCCAUAUUCCUAUGCCUAAGGGUCAAUUCUGUCAGCCUAUGGAGGUUAAUAGCAUCCAAAUGGUGCUAGCCCCUAGGAGCUUUACAACUUGUUGACUGUAAUUCAGUCCACAUCUUCCUAUAACCCUUCAUUAACUCUCCUCAGUAACCCUGUUUGGUACUCCUUUCUGUCAGGACCUUAAACACGUUGUAUAUGUGUAUUUUUAAGUAAAGUGUGCAUAUUGAGUGUGUGUAUGUAUGUGUAUGUGUAUAUAUAUAUAUAUAUAUAUAUAUAUAUAUAUAUAUAUAUAAUUAUAUGCCUGUAUAUAGGAAACAGCUGCAAAGACACACCAAACUGUUAGCAACAGUUACCACCUGGUAAUGGGGAUGCACUAGGGGAGGGACAAAGGAAAAGAAAAAAGACACCUUUAUUUUAUAUUCUGUAUCAUUUGAGUUACUUAAAACAGUAAGUUUGUAUACUUUUAAAGUAAUAGAGUUUUAAAAGUAGAUCAAGAGCAUCAAUCAGCCUAAUACAAGAAGUUCAGUAAACUCAUUGAAAGGAUGAAACCUCCCUAAGAAACACUCAGUCAACAAAAUUACAGAGAAAAACACUCAACUUAAAUAAAAAUUUAAUGAUCAAUGCAUAUUGAAAGAUGAUGAAAUUCUUGUAUGACGGCAGCAUCCAAGGACUCUCUCCAUUCUCAUGGCUCCCAGCCCUUCCCUCCAGGCUGCUGGGGUAACUUGAGACCCACUAAGCCAGCAGACUCCUCCACUGAGCGCUCACCCUUGCCAUGAAAUUCCUGAUGAAGGGCCACAUGUUCUCGAAUGCUGCGUAGGAGGCAGAGAUAGGUGGCAGCUUGGAAAUGAAGCUCAUGUUGGGCUCUGCACAGCUUCUCACUGGUAACCUAGAAAACAGCAAGGGCACAUACUUUAUUAGCAGCCCAGCUAAGCUACAGGGCCACACAGAUUUCAUAAGCAUUCUCUAGAAUGAAAGUAAACUGUACAGAGGAAAUACAAAUAUGUAUAUGUAUAUGCUAAUUACAUACGUAGAGGCACCCUGUAAGUUGGUGGUGAUUGGGAAAGCUGACCUCCAAUUAAUUGAAGAGGAAUUUCACAAGGAGUAUCCCUGAAGAGUUUCAAUGAGUGUCCUCAGAUUUUAAUACCAAAAAAAAAAAAGUCAUUUCAACUCCCUUGUCUUGCAGAUGUUCUACAAAUGAGGAAACCAAAGCCCAGAGAGGCUUUAGUGGUUGGUUACUGACAGAGAUGAGGAACUAUAAUCAUUAAUGUCGCCUAAGGAAUAAUAUCUAGAACUUCUCCCCUUCAAACAAAUGAAAGUCUGCUUUUUAUAUUUCUGACUUUGGUUAAUGUUGUAUAUGUCUUUCAAUGAAAAGUAAAACCAUUUUGUCUGAAAAAUAAUAGCUUUGUCCUCAACAGUAACAAAAUGAAGGUUUUAUAUAUAAAAGUAAUAUGCAUAUAUUAAUAUUACUUAAUUAUACUUGCUUUCAAUGUACUUAUCCAUCUGAAAAAUCCAGAGUCUGAUGACUAUAAGUAGCUGGAAACUAUAUCCAUUCCGAAGUCCCCAAUGACUCCAAACCUUGUUUUCUCUUCAUAAUUUCCAGAUUUAGUACACUGUCCUUUACUUGACUAGUUUUGUGUUCUGAGGUUGUGAGCAGAGGGCAGAAAAGGUGAAACAGAGAUGUGUGCAUGCUUCAAGUGACUUAAGGAGCCCUGUGUAUAUCUAACUGCAGAUUAAUCUCUGGGCACCAGUGCCUAUGCAAACCCCUUUCUUUCACCUUUCUUUAUUUGAAUAUGUAGGGUUAGAAUCUGAAAACUAGAAAGUGUGGUUUAAGAUCUGAAGAUCACACACACCCAAAGAUGUGCAGAUCACAUAGUAAAAAUGGCACUCAAACUGCUCAAAAAAAGAAUUCAUCUGCUUGGGGCGCCUGGGUGGCUCAGUCGUUAAGCGUCUGCCUUCAGCUCAGGUCACGAUCCCAGAGUCCUGGGAUCAAGCCCCGCAUCGGGCUCCCUGCUCGGCGGGAAGCCUGCUUCUCCCUCUCCCACUCCCCCUGCUUGUGUUCCCUCUUUCACUGUGUCUCUCUCUGUCAAAUAAAUAAAAUCUUAAAAAAAAAAAAAAAAGAA